AGUGAACGCUGGCGGUAGGCCUAACACAUGCAAGUCGAACGGCAGCACAGUAAGAGCUUGCUCUUACGGGUGGCGAGUGGCGGACGGGUGAGGAAUACAUCGGAAUCUACUUUUUCGUGGGGGAUAACGUAGGGAAACUUACGCUAAUACCGCAUACGACCUACGGGUGAAAGCAGGGGAUCUUCGGACCUUGCGCGAUUGAAUGAGCCGAUGUCGGAUUAGCUAGUUGGCGGGGUAAAGGCCCACCAAGGCGACGAUCCGUAGCUGGUCUGAGAGGAUGAUCAGCCACACUGAAACUGAGACACGGUCCAGACCCCUAGGGGAGGCAGCAGUGGGGAAAAUUGGACAAUGGGGGAAAGCCUGAUCCAGCCAUACCGCGUGGGUGAAGAAGGCCUUCGGGUUGUAAAGCCCUUUUGUUGGGAAAGAAAAGCAGCAGGUUAAUCCCCCGCUGUUCUGACGGUACCAAAAGAAUAAGCACCGGCUAACUUCGC
rnacentral:rRNA from 1 species